CGGUAACAGGAAGCAGCUUGCUGCUUUGCUGACGAGUGGCGGACGGGUGAGUAAUGUCUGGGAAACUGCCUGAUGGAGGGGGAUAACUACUGGAAACGGUAGCUAAUACCGCAUAACGUCGCAAGACCAAAGAGGGGGACCUUCGGGCCUCUUGCCAUCGGAUGUGCCCAGAUGGGAUUAGCUAGUAGGUGGGGUAACGGCUCACCUAGGCGACGAUCCCUAGCUGGUCUGAGAGGAUGACCAGCCACACUGGAACUGAGACACGGUCCAGACUCCUACGGGAGGCAGCAGUGGGGAAUCUUGCACAAUGGGGACCAGCCUGAUGCGGCCAUGC
rnacentral:rRNA from 1 species